rnacentral:lncRNA from 1 species
CAGUGUUAUAUCCUCUGAACCCACAAACGCUGGUCCUUCUUUUGCUCGCGGGAACCAUGAAGUGCGUGUCAUCUCUUCCGGUGCUCUGUUUGCUGGUACUCUCCGUGAGUACCAUCUUUAACCCCAUUACCCCACAUGAGCCGAUCUUCAAAGGGACCCUGAAAGAUGUGAUUUCAUUUUCAAAAGAACAGAUAACCUCCUCCUUACCAUACCUAUGGAUUUCCAGAAAAGGCGGCAUUGUCAAGAUUUUGUUCGUGAGCCACAUCAUCGUGUUUGUUUUGAAGUAUAUCUUGAAAAGUAUUGAGCCAGUACUUGCAUUCAAGAAAGUUCGUAAGGACAGGAUCCGAUGCCCUCAGAACCGCAAUCGCCCGACCUUGAUGAAUCCGUGACAGCGUGUUGAGCCGUCACAUUGAUCCUGCCAACACAAACCGUUACAUACAAACUACUGGCCAUUGUUUCUGUCUUGUGAUUGUAACAUAUAAACGACGUUGUUUCUGUAUCGUCCAUUGCAUGGAUGUAAAUCCUGAAAAUGGUUAAUAAAAUAUUUCUGGUCAUUCUUUGUGGAGCAUUUCCAUAGGUUGUGAAAGUGUGUCUGUGGUACCAAUUGUGAGACUUCAGAUAUUAUUAAAAUUGUGUUCUUGGGAG